AAGCUUGCUUCUCUGAUGUUAGCGGCGGACGGGUGAGUAACACGUGGAUAACCUACCUAUAAGACUGGGAUAACUUCGGGAAACCGGAGCUAAUACCGGAUAAUAUUUUGAACCGCAUGGUUCAAAAGUGAAAGACGGUCUUGCUGUCACUUAUAGAUGGAUCCGCGCUGCAUUAGCUAGUUGGUAAGGUAACGGCUUACCAAGGCAACGAUGCAUAGCCGACCUGAGAGGGUGAUCGGCCACACUGGAACUGAGACACGGUCCAGACUCCUACGGGAGGCAGCAGUAGGGAAUCUUCCGCAAUGGGCGAAAGCCUGACGGAGCAACGCCGCGUGAGUGAUGAAGGUCUUCGGAUCGUAAAACUCUGUUAUUAGGGAAGAACAUAUGUGUAAGUAACUGUGCACAUCUUGA
rnacentral:rRNA from 1 species